GAGCACCUACUUACACACUCUGAAGAGGAAGGCACUGGGAGGAAUGUUCUAAAGAGGGACGCAGCCAAGAGGAAGUGAUCAGCAGGGGUCAACGAAAGGAAAGAUGCUGCGGUUCCUUCCGGGUAGGGAGUCAAGAGAAAUAAAUUGCAGGUGCUCAGAGGAGGCAACAAGACGUAUAAUUAUAAAACCAUGAUCAUGGCUCUCAACCUCUUGUCUACGUCUUUGCAUCUAUAGCACUUUAACAAUGGGUGUGCCAAAUGAGGUUGACCAAAUCAACAGCUCUCAUAAAUUCCCAGCAUUUUUAUUGUCAUUGGUAGGGGAAUGAAAGAUGCAACUAUAAACCUGGAUGAGACAGCUCCUGAAAGCACAUUGAAGUUCCCUGCAAUAAUUUGGUUACUCCGAAAGGUCAGAUUCAUCAGAAGGCUCAGUCCUUAGCUGCUGGCUUCAUGCAGCCUGGAAAUAGCAUGGUGAAAUCCCACCACAGGAUCUCGUCACCCAGCUCAUGAAGGGGAAGACAUGGAGCUUCUGCUAUGUUUAUUAUUUCAAGUCCUUUAAACCAUAUUGCUCCUUGAAGGGUAGCAAUCUGAUGUGAGGUGUCUAUGAACCUUGUCAGUCAUCACUUGCUUUUUUUUUUAAACAAGUAUUUGUUUGUUUAUUCAUUUAUUUGUGUGUGUGCAUAUACAUGGGGCUCAGAAAACAACCAGCAGAAGUUGGUUCUCUCCUCUACCAAGUGGGGUCCAAAGGAUGAAAUCUAAGUCAUAGGACUUGGUGGAAAGGGUUCUUACCCAAUCAGCCGUGUCACCAGCCCCUGGCUGCUUGGUUUUUUAAGUAAAUUCUGUUACUAACAA